rnacentral:rRNA from 1 species
UACAGAGGUCCCAAGCGUUGUUCGGAUUCACUGGGCGUAAAGGGUGCGUAGGUGGUGAGGUAAGUCGGAUGUGAAAUCUCCGAGCUCAACUCGGAAAUGGCAUUGGAAACUACCUUGCUCGAGGGUUGGAGGGGGGACUGGAAUGCUUGGUGUAGCAGUGAAAUGCGUAGAUAUCUGCAGGAACACCCGUGGCGAAAGCGGCGCGCUGGACCACUACUGACGCUGAGGAACGAAAGCUAGGGGAGCAAACAGG